rnacentral:lncRNA from 1 species
CUCUACACAAGUAGCAUGAUCUACUAUAUUGUGGAAUAUAUCGAUAUAUCUAAAGGGUGUCUGUGUGGCGUGCCCACCCGACGUCCUCGUUUUGCUCCUUGUGGGAUUCCCAAGUGUAACUUAAACAUCUCUUUAUCCGGCAAUGGGCGUCUCUUCCCUUAUGGGAUCUCAUCCUUGGUGCCUUGGCUAUGAGGGCAGGGCACAGGGUACCCGAUACCAGUGGGUUGUUGGAGGCUAGGCGCCCCCUUGCGUCGAUUUUGAGAACAGCAUCUUGUAAAGCACACAGAACAAGCUGGCCACCAGGGUGGGGGUGGGUGGACUGACUCCUCCCUGCCGUUCUCCUCCCACAGGCCGGCCACAGCAGCCCAAGCGACUCCGCAGUGAGGGUGCUGCUCCAUUCCCCAGGACGGCCCUCCAGCCCUAGGUUCAGCAGUUUGGAUCUGGAGGAAGACUCAGAGGUGUUCAAGAUGCUGCAGGAGAACCGCCAGGGACGGGCCGCCCCAAGGCAGUCCAGCUCUUUUCGACUCUUACAGGAAGCCUUGGAGGCUGAGGAGAGAGGUGGCACACCUGCCUUUGUGCCCAGCUCGCUGAGCUCCCAGGCUUCCUUGCCCACCUCCAGGGCCUUGGCCACUCCACCCAAGCUCCACACCUGUGAGAAAUGCAGCGUCAACAUCUCGAACCAGGCGGUCCGCAUCCAGGAGGGGAGGUACCGACACCCUGGCUGCUACACUUGCGCAGACUGUGGGCUGAACCUGAAGAUGCGCGGCCACUUCUGGGUGGGCAAUGAGUUGUACUGCGAGAAGCAUGCCCGCCAGCGCUACUCUAUGCCUGGAACUCUCAACUCUCGAGCCUGAGCCUCAAGGUGCUCGGCCUGUCUGCACUCUCAGACUCUGCAGACAUGAUUAUACUGAGAGCAAGCAGGG